rnacentral:rRNA from 1 species
AUUGAACGCUGGCGGCAGGCCUAACACAUGCAAGUCGAACGAGUGGCGGACGGGUGAGUAAUGUCUGGGAAACUGCCUGAUGGAGGGGGAUAACUACUGGAAACGGUAGCUAAUACCGCAUACCAUCGGAUGUGCCCAGAUGGGAUUAGCUAGUAGGUGGGGUAAAGGCUAACCUAGGCGACGAUCCCUAGCUGGUCUGAGAGGAUGACCAGCAACAUGGGACCGGAGACACGGUCAAGACCCUACCGGGAGGCAGCAGUGGGGAAUAUUGCACAAUGGGGGCAAGCCUGAUGCAGCCAUGCCGGGGGGAGGAAGAAGGCCUUCGGGUUGUAAAGUACGUUCAGCGGGGAGGCGUUACCCGAAGAAGAAGCACCGGCUAACUCCGUGCCAGCAGCCGCGGUAAUAC